UUGGAAAAAUCUAAAUCGACUUUUAGAUACAAAUUGUAUGUACUCGCGUGCGAUUUUUUUAUUUUUAUUUAUCAUUAUAAUUUUCAAUGAAAACGUUGAACAAAUUCGAUAAAAGUAUUUAAAUCAUAUUUUUUAACGAUAUCGAUCGUUCUAGUUAUUAUCAUUUGUAAGGCAUUAUCAACAUAAUAUUACUGUGUAAAAUAUUAUCAUGGUAUAAUAAUUUCUUCAAAUCUCCACCCCUUACACAAUUUAUAACCGUUAUCUAAAAUAUAAAAUUACUUUUUGAGAAAACUUUUUAGACAUGCUUUUUUAUACCAUAUUAUUAUAUAUUCUAGAUAUUAAAAAUAAUGUAACGUAUUAAAACCAACAAAACAACCAAUAUUACACAUCAUU